rfam:Blastocystis sp. NandII AV274scaffold_31, whole genome shotgun sequence.
GCGCUAUUGGUGUAGUGGUUAGCAUUUACGCUUCCCAAGCGUGAGACCCGAGUUCGAAUCCCGGAUGGCGCA